UUUAUCUGCAGCCAUAAGUUUUCGUGCCAAACUUAGAUCAUAUGUCUUAUUUAAAUUUUUUUUAUAAUUAAUAUUUUUAUUGUUAUGAGAUAAUAAAACAUGAAUGGUUCUUUAUAAGUCACUUAUGUUUUUAAUUUUUUUAUUUUUUUUAAAUAAGACGGAUGGUCAAAGUUGUGUAUGAAAAAUCAUAGUUGCACUUAAA
rfam:Oryza rufipogon genomic scaffold, chr04